CAGCCGUAAACUAUGCUCGCUAGGUGUCAGGCAUGGCGCGACCGUGUCUGGUGCCGCAGGGAAGCCGUGAAGCGAGCCACCUGGGAAGUACGGCCGCAAGGCUGAACUUAAAGGAAUUGGCGGGGGAGCACAACAACGGGUGGAGCCUGCGGUUUAAUUGGACUCAACGCCGGACAACUCACCGGGGACGACAGCAAUAUGUAGGCCAGGCUGAAGACCUUGCCUGAAUCGCUGAGAGGAGGUGCAUGGCGUAGACGUCU
rnacentral:rRNA from 1 species